AUGUUUUUGAUUUUAGCCAUCCUGACUUGCGUGAAGUGACGUCUCACUGUGGUUUCGAUUUGUGUUUGCCUGAUGAUGAGUGAUGAUGAGCAUCUCUUUGUGUGGACCCUGGCUCUGACGUUCCCGCAGGGAUGGGGGCGGUGUGUCUGGGACCAGGAGGAGAGGCACCAGGACUUUGUCUUAGAAUAGACUUGGCAUGCAGAGGGGGUCUGCAUCACCUUUCUCAACCAGUGGGUUUCACUCUUUGCGCAUGUGUUUUCCAGCUUCACUUCCUGAGGCAUCUGCUGCUGGAAGGGGGGUUUCCUAGACUGAAAAGUCAGACUCCAUCUUAAAUAUUAUCUUCCUCUUCUUGAACACAGGUAACACAGAGGAGUGGAUGUUUCCUGACAACCUAGUUUGAUUACAUGGUGAAAGGACAGAAGAGAAGACCAAGUCCAGCCAAGCCAACUUAAUGACUUGAUCACUGGAAUUUGGACACCACAAAGAGUUAAUAAUUGUAAAGUAUCCUGUGUAUUCUGUGGUUAUUCCAUGACCUCAAAUCAUCUCUCAAUGGUCUGAAAUGCGUGCCGCACUGGCUGCUGACAUAAGCAAGCACACUGCCUGCUGGUUCAAGGGGCUGCCCCGGGAGCUAAUUACAGACACGAGGCCGUGUGGCCGGCAGACCGCGGCUGGAUGUGAUUAGAGGGUUUUGGAGUGUUGCCAUCUGCUCACUUUCAUGGACACAGGGGAAGCAGCCAGGAUCCACGAGCAGACCGGCUGGCCCUGCUUUGAGCAUGUAUGCGUCAUCUCACCAAUGUUACUUGCCUCUGCUGGAGCUGUGCUGGACCAGGCUCCCGUCAUUUCACAACUGGGGCUACAGAAGCAGCCUCCUGGCUGGUUUUCUUGCUUCUGCUCUGCGUUUUUUGUUUUUCAAAUUUUUUAAUAUUUAUUUUUGAGAGAGAGAG